GGCUGGCCUUAAACUCAGAAAUCUGCCUGCCUCUGCCUCCCGAGUGCUGGGAUUAAAGGCGUACGCCACUACGCCAGGCUGUGCAUGGUUAUCCUUAGAAACAAGCAACCGCCACACCCUGCACCCUGCAAAAUGACUGCCCCAGCUGGGAUUGUUGACUGUUACUCCUGGAAGGGCAGCGAGAAUCAGGAGCCCCUUAUCUGAGUAGCCAUCUGCCUUAAUUGGCCUCAGGAGCGGCUUUAGUAUAUAGAUCAGGGACGCGGGAGAGGGCCUCCUUGCUCCUGCUGGGAAAGGCUUUCCAGUUACACCCUGUUGGGAGAGGAGCGCUCACAUCCCUGUAAGGGGCCCUCACCCGUGUUCUGUAAGGAAGCCGAUAAACUUCGUGGUUCCCUAGAGUGAACUUUGGCAGAGUCGUGGCGUGAUUUGUCUGUCAUUAGGACCGAAAGAGAAGGGGACGAUGUUGAGUCUCUCCUCGGGAAGGAAUUUCAGCAACAGCCCUACCUGACUGAGCCCAGAAGCCCAGACCAAGGCAGCCCCAAUACUCCUGGCUCCUGCUGGCUCCUGCCUGAGACAAAGGUGUAGGGCGCUGUUAUGGUCUGUGCCUCACCUCAUCCUGUGGCUGUCUGGCUGUCAUCCCUGCCUAUGGCAGUUUCUGAGUUUCUAGGUCUGGUCACCAGACCUUUACCAUGGAAGCUCCACCAAGACCCUGCAAGGCCCCAGCCCACAAAACACACACCCUCAGAGCUACCAGGCUCUGCCCUGGGAUAUCAGGUCUCAAAGUCCCCCGCCCCCUCAUCCUGUCUCUUUAGAAAGUGCCUGCAUGUUCCAUCUGGGGCUGGGGUGUAAUGGGCACCCAAUGCAUGUACCGUAGCGCCUGGCGGGCUCUAUCCAUUGAAGUGUAUUCUGGGGGACACCCCUUCCCUGAUAUAUGUGAACAGCUCUUGCUACUUCCUUGUCCCUGUUGUUGUGGCCAUCCUGAGCUGGCCCCUAGCCCGGGUCUUCUGUGAAGCCCCAGAGAAGGUUUUGCCUGUGGACAGUGUAGAAGCAGUGAUGUUGAAAAUGGCAGUUCCUCUCAGCUUUAGGCUGCUGGGCCCAUAUAUAACUCUGAGUCCUCUUCCGGGUAAACGGGUAAACGCAGGAGUUCCCCGAUUGUGCUCCUAGGGAUCCUUGAGAACUGCACAAGGAAACCCCAAAGGCCCGACUCUCCUGCCACUCAGACAUGCGCACACCACAGGUAUGCGUCAGUGCUCCAGGGCCGGAGCUCUGGUUUCUGGGUCACUGCCCAAGAGCCCACUCUGGCCAGGAGACAAGUUGCCCCAAUAACCUCAGGCUCGCCCCCUAAGUACCCCUGGAGUUUUCCUGUUUGUACUGAUGGACAGAUAGCUGCACGAGUGCCCUGACCAGGCCUCUGGCCUAGCCUGGCCUCUGGGUGGAGCCUACACCAGCAGGUGCUGUUACUUGAUCAGGAGCAGCCUAGGGGAUGGGGUGCUAUCUGCCCCUCCCCCACUUGGUGAACUUAACAGAGAGGAAGCCUGGGCCCCUCCAAGGCUGAGCUGGGGCCUUGCAGGGUCUCUCCUAGACCAGGAGCUGAGGACAAAGCGGCAGCUGCCAGCGGGGUGGGGUGGGGGCCCACAGCCUUUGUGCUUGUGGGGCCCCUCCUGGUGACCUCACCAUCUACCAGAGAAGGGCCCUUUCUUCCCAAAGGCAGCCCUUGGGAAUCCGCCUGGGGACAAAGCCGCUGCCAAGUGGGGGACCAGCGAGUGGCUGGCCCUCCUCAUGGCAUAAAUUAAGGGGGGGUAGAGGAGGGCAGUUGCAGCUGGCGCCUGUGAAGGGCACACAUCCCCCCACUCCCACAGAGCAGAGGGAUACUACCCACCCUCCAUUCAUCUGCGCAUCCUGUUCAGAGCCGGCUCCUGGGUGCUAGCCAGGCACAAGGGCUGGACAGUGAUGAUGGUUUUUUUUGGGGGGGCUCUCAGGUUUGGGGAGAACUGGGACUUGUGGGUCACAGCUGCCAUCCAGACUUGAGCAGAUUGGAGAGAGCCUGUCACAUGACCAUGAGGAGCUACGGCAACUUGGGGCCACACGCAGUCCUCUGGGGGUUGCGGGAAGUCGUCAGAAAAAUGUUUGCUUUUCUGUGUGUAGUGUCCAGUGACACCACUGUCCUUCACAUGAGGCCAAGGGUUUCCUGUCUCCAGGGCGCUUCACAAAGCUCCCUCACAACUUGCUGGCCCUCAGCCCUGUCUGCCGCACUCUGCUGAAGACCCCACGGGAUGGGGGGGGGGGGGAACAGACAGCAUGUAGGACUUGCCGGGUUCCAGAAAUCAUCCUACCACCCUGAGCUGAGCCCAGGUCUGGGACCCGAGCACACUGAGUCAGAGAGUGGAAGUCAAGGGCGUGAAGGGCCCUGUCUAGUGAGCAGGAAGCUCCCAUCGUGCUGACAUCCUCGUGGGGGUGGGGUGGGGAGUGGGGGUUGGGGAAGGAUGCUGCAUUCACCCAGAACUACCCAAAGCCCUGAGAUGAGAUUUCUGGGGAUGGAAAAUUUAUAAAGAUCUUUCAAACCAUUGCGCCUAAUGUCACCCCGAGGCAAGGGCGUGUGCAGCAAACUGGACCUUCCCAAAUGCCCACUGUACACCCCACUCGUGGACAAAGAAAGGGAGUCAGUCUCACAGGUCUAUCCUGGCCAGGAGAAGGCCAAGGCUUCCAGGACACUGGGCUCCCAAAGGUCAGGGGCACAGAGUUCUCCAGGGGCCCCAGAGGCCCUGUGCCCCCCCCCCCCAGCAGAUCGAGGAGUGGGGGUGGGGUGUAAGUAGGCCAGCACUUUGUUCUGCGUUGCUAUGGUGCCAUCGCCUGCCUGUGCAAGCUUCCUUCUGGGCCUGUUCCCAGGACACCUCGAGCUAGUCCCCACUACAGCCCUCCCCAGCCCCUGUCCAGCCCCAGCCCGUCCUCAGUCAGGGCUGCUCCCAGGCUCCAAGCCCCUCAUUAUCCUUAGUCUUCCCCAUCCCUGCCUUGAUACACACAUACGCAAGCACACACAUGUGCUUAGACCUAAAUACAAGCACAUCCAUAAUGCGUGUUUACAUGUCUGCACACUGUCAUGAACUCACACAUGUGCUCACAUGCGUAUGUGCACAUUACACACAGCCACACACAGGUUGCUCGGUGAGGCACCAGGUCCCCAGGGCCUUAGGCUCCUCAGAUGGCCCUGAAGAUCGGAGCUCCAGCCUCCAGAGAUCUAGGCACUAUGGCACUGUUCAGACCAGAGAGCAAGGUGCUCAGGGGCCUUGGCCAGGUUUCAUCUUGACCUUACCCAUCUGCCUGCUGGAGGCUUAGCUGGGGGGGACAGGAGGGUAGGAUCCAGGAUAUAGGACAUGAGGCCUAAAUGGGACAGGGAAUUGGGGCUUGAGUAGAACAAGAACUUGCUAGUGAUCCUUGAGCCUCAGGAUCACUGGGGGCAAAGUGGGCCAGCCCCUCUCCUCCUCUUCUUCCUCCAUCCUACCACAUUUUCUCAUCGCACUCCACACUCCUGGCUCUCUGGCCACUACCGCUUUUCUUCCUCCAUUCAUUCAUGGAACAGAACCCCCAGUAGGCAGGGCAGGUUCCAUGGCCCCCGGACAGAAUGGAGCUGCCUAGCUUCAGGAAAGUCAAGUCAUGCAGGCCCAGAGACCAACACUGAGGGUGGCUGUUUGGGGAGGGUGUGUUCUGAAGGCUUCUUUCAGGGAGUGACAUUUGGUUUAGGUUAUAAAGAUGACUACAAUCUACAAGGGAGGGAGCAGCCAGAGUUUAGAAUCCGGAACAGCCUGUGGGGGCAGGGGUAGCACAGAUCUGCCCUUUCUGCCCCACACCCAGUGUUGCACCUACCACCCUGAUGACAUUGGGAUCACACGGGGACACGUGGAGCGUGGGCCAGGCAGAGCCAGGACUGAAGACCAUCCCUGUCUGGUCAAGUUAAGAGUCUUAGGCUAAGUUAAAAGCUGCCAGAUUUGCAGGGCCCGUGCUAGCUUACAAUUGUUCAUGGUGGGCAGCCACCAGAAGGCCAACUGGAGCACCAUCUACCACCGGACACCGAGUGCUGCUCAGGUGGGACCACAACCACCUGUCCCCAUCAGCUGGGACAGGUGCACGCAGUGGGGGAGACAUAGGCCUGACAGCUGCACCAGUUGGCUAGGCCCUGACCAUUUUGGGUGGCUUAUGCGCAGAAAAGGAAAAAAAAAUUGGCCUUGAGUGCCUCCUGGUGGCCACAUGUGAAGAACCAAGAAGGGCUGAGGAAUUGUGAAGGAGCUGGAGGUGCUCUGAAGUCAAGGGCUCUAAGCUCUAACCCGUGAACUAACUGGUCAGUAGACUGGAUGUGGCCAGGACUGUCUGGAGUCCCCUCUGCACAGCCUGGCAAGGCCAGGCUAGCUCUGUGGGCACCUAGCAAUGGAGGUUUUAGAGGACACAGCUGAAACCAGGGAGGAGCCCCGUGUAGUCCCUCCCUGGCAUAGAGCUAGGCCUCUUCCACUGCCACUUAGAGGCACCUCCUUGGGGCUCCCGCUCUGUGACUGAGUGAAUGCCUACAACAAAAGUCACCUGACUACCUGGGGACAGAAUCCUGUAGUCUUUCCAUUCAGGGCCACAGAGCCUGUCAGAGCGGCAGAGUGGGUUCAAGGCCACGCUAGCCAUAGCAAGACCCUGCCCCAGACACAAAAUUACAGGUUGCUUAUGUGCUCAGGCAUAAAAAGCCAGUUCCCAUCUUAGCUAUGAGGAAAUUAUGUGUGGUGAAGAGGCUACCUGGGCUGCCACCUUACAUGAUCUGAGUCUAGGGUGCUGCCCCUGGAAGCCCCUAGCUACCGACAAGGACCUCAUUAGUUUUCAAAGAUUUUUUGUUUGCUGGACAGUGGUGUGCAUGCCUUUAAUCCCAGCACUCAGGAGUCAGUGGCAGGCGGAUCUCUUGAGUUCAAGGCCAGCUCUGAUCAACCAAGCAGGUUCCUUUAUUUUUAUUUUAACUGUAUGGGUAUUUUACCUGCUUAUAGAAGAGGGUGGUAGAUUCCUUAGAACUGGACUUACAGAUAGUUGUAAACUGUCUUGUGACUGCCGGGAAUCAAAUCUGUAUCUGGAAAAAUCACCAGUGCUCUUAUCUUCCCCCCCCCCCCCUGAGACAUUGCUCCAGCCCCACACCCUCAUGGCCCAUUCUUGGGAAAUGACAAGAUGCCCCUUGGCGUGCCUGUGCCUACAGUCUGAAGUCCAGGGAUCCAGCUCUGCAGAUUCUUAAUGAGCCUGGAGGCUUUUUGCACUGGCUGUUCUCAUCGCCUGCUUGUCCCUGCCGAGGCUCUCACAUGGCCCUGGCCUUAGGUCCCUUCCAGUAACCAUGUCAGUUCUGGGAUGUCUGCUUUUUCUUUGGUCAGGAGUAAGAGUCAAAAGAUGACCUUCCGUGGACGGAUGGAAACUGCAGUAUCAGAAGAAAAAGGGGACCAUGCAUCCGAGCACAAGGGGCACUGGGAGCCUGCUCAGCCAGCUGAUAGACAGGAUAGACCAGGACUGGGCUCAGGCUGCAGAGAAGUAGAGUGCUUGGCUCUCUGGGCUCACGUGCCAUGAGAAUUCUUGCACCUUAAGCACACACCCAAACCCAGCUUAUGUGACCUCAUCCCAUGACUAACUUUUCCUGUCGUCAGGCAGGCCAAACCCCACAACUGCACUUUAGUCCCUAAGGCCAGCCUCCUUGCUGUCUGCCUGUCUAUCUCAGUCCUGCUCUGCCUCUUCUGUUGGUCCUAUCUUCCUGGCCCCACACAUGGGGACAGUUAGGACAGUGUUCUGUCCUAAAACACCCACAUUCUCGCACUGGUCAUCCAGAGUCCACCUUUGACCCAGGCCCUUCUAGCUUUUGAUUUGUACCUCUGAGAUCUCCCAGGCUCUGAGAAGUAAGCCUUGCUCUGAGCUUCCCAUGGCUGUUCCCACUGGAAUGCCUCCCUCUCUGGGGGAUUUUUGUUAAGGAAGUGUCCCUAAAGUAGCCUUCACUGCCUUCCCUGUAAAGGUUGCCCCUUUCCCCUUUCUCCUGGUACGUUUGUGGCAUCAAGGUUGGGAAGUCAGGACCUGUGUCUGCCUUCUUAGAGUACCUGCCUCACUGCUCUGACACAGCACUUCAUGCCUGCAAGCAUCACAGGGUUUUGAUUAGCUGCGUCCUUGGGACAAAGGGGAAAGGACAAACCUUCUUAUGUCCUCAAGGUCUAAGGUGACUCAUCCAGGCAGGAUGCUGCAACUGAGCUGCCUGUAGGCACUUGAUGGCCUUUCCAACUCACUCUCAAGUCAGAAGCCACCUCCUCCAGGGCUUCCUAUGACCAGAUAACAAUCUCUCCAUUCUCCACCUUACCUCAGAGGCGGCCAGAGCCAGCUUCUGCGCCUGUGAGACAGCUGCUCUAGGUCAGGCCUGAGUUGGCAAAAGGAUGCCUGGAACCCACUGGGGGCAGAUGGCUCUCGGUGACACUUUCAAUCUGCCAUCUGGAUCUUGGGCACCUUGCUGUAUGGAUGUUUGCUGGACAUAUUCCCUACCCUAGGCCUGGCCAGGAAGAUGAGGAGGAGACACAGAAAGCCACGAUUCCAGCUCUGCUUCAUUCUGUCCUAAAGCUCCCUUCUGUUCAGAACUCCCACUUCGCUGGGCAUGGUGCCACACACCCUUAAUCCCAACAAUCCAGAGACCGAGGCAGGCAGAUCUCUGAAUUUGAGGCCAGCCUGAUCUACAGAAAGAGAAUUCCAGGACAGCCAAGACUACGCCAACAUGGAAAACCACAACCCAGAAAGAAUCCCUGGGUCACCCGCGUGAGCUGCUGCAGGCAGCAGUGUGUCUUCAGCUGCAGCCCUGCCUCUGACCCGCUAGGUCAUGACUUCUCAACCUCUGCUCUCUCCUGGCCAAUCUGGUCCUGAAGCUGAGCCCAGGCCUCUCUGCCUGCACCUUUCCCAGCCUAGUUCAGCCAGGACUGUCUUUUAGACUUCACCUAUUCAUCCACUGAGCUCCAGCUGAGCAGAGUUGGGGCUCGGCAGACACAGUCUGGGGAUACUUCAGCCAUAGGGCCUCUUCCCUCAGCUCACAUCCUCAGGGAAGGGGCUGGGUGGGAGUGGCAUGCUCAGGGAAUGGCAGAUGGAGAGGAACAAAGGUGGGCAGGAGGGUGGGAGACCUGCACUACCACAGGAGAGGUUGUGAGGGCCAUUGUCCCUAAGAUUGACAUUGCCUCUCUACUUUAUGGAUAUAACCAUCUAACAACGCAUUAGUGAUGUGUAGCCCCAGACACCAGAGAGGAAAAGCCCACCCCUGAGCACUUCAGAACCACUACAAGGCAGCUGGGCAUGGAGGCACAUACUUUCAACCCCAGCACUUGGGAGACAGACGUAGGUGGAUCUCUUGAGUUCCAGGCCAGCCUGGUCUACAGAGCAAGUUCCAGGCCAGCCUGGUCUACAGAGCAAGUUCCGGGCCAGCCUGGUCUACAGAGCAAGUUCCAGGACAGCCAGGGCUACAUGGAGGCCCUGUCUCAAAAUACCAAAAUAGAAACAGAACCACACAAGGAGAACAGAAUGGACAUCUGUCUUGUGAGUGGGACCUGAUGGGUGCAGGGGAAAAGGGUGAGUCUGAGGCUCAAGCUCUGGAGGGUGGAGCCUCGGUCACAGUAGGGGCAGGCCCUAACCAGGUGCUAAGCAUCUGCAGAAAGCUCUCCGCCCCUCAUCUGUGUUCUCAGAAGCCAGUUCACACACCCAUAAGGUCAUGUCCCUCCUGCCCACCCCCAGGAAAGUUCUGGAUUAGUCAUGGCUGACCCCUCCUUCCUGGUGGAAACUCCAGGACCUGAAGUGACAACCAGCUAUGUACGUACAUACAUCCACCCACAAGGCAGACACACGAGGCUGAGGCUCUCUGCAGCUGUGGGUGGAAUCUGGAAUCUGGAUUUCUGAGGAAGACAGCCUCCUCAGGGCUGAGCUGUCUGCUGCAGGCCCGUGGGAUGGUGGGGGUGGGAAGUAGGGUGGCUUCCUGAGCUCAGGGCUCACGUAUCACUGGCCUCGGGCACCCGGGUAGAGCAGGGAUAGUUUAGCCUGGGAUCCUAUUUGGUUGUGUGCCCCUCCCCCUUUGUAAUAAUGCACCUGGCCAUCCAUCUCAGUCACCUGCACCUGCUGCACGAACACACACCCAGACUAAACAAUGCACCUAGCAACUUCAGAACCCCUCCACCCCUGCCCUCCAUUGAGCGACACACAAUCCAGUCUUUGGACAAUAGUGUUUAAAUGACCCUGGUAACAAUGAAAUUUAGAAAGAUUUAUUUCAGUGCAUUCAGGUAUUGAUCCGAUUAUUAAUAAUAGGCCUGAUCUAGCCCGAACUGGUUUUGGGUGGGUGGUUGUGGAACAAGGCAAACUAUCCUGGGUUGGCAGGAUGGGGCACACCUUUAAUCCCAGUGCCUGGGAUGCAGGACAGGUGGAUCUCUGCAAGUUUGAGGCCAGCCUGAUCUAUAUAAUGUCUAAGGACAAAAAAGUCUUUCAAUAAACACUUAGGAAGAUCCCCUAGUUGCCAUUUUAUACUUAUGGAUGGCUGAACAUACAUAUGAUUAAAAGUAGAUGCAUUAUGGGAAGGAACGUAAGCAAUAGGCAAAAUGAACAUAUAUGGCCCCCAUCUAUCAAUUACAAUAGAGAACCACCCAGGGGUUAGAGAAAUGCCUCAGCAUUUAAGAGCUGAUAGCACACCCUCAUGCAUGCAGGCAAACACAUGCACACGGAACAGAGCCAGCCAAAUGACAUCUAUUUUUUUUGGGGGGGGGAGGAAAGGGUUUAUUCAGCUUACACUUCCACAUUGCUGUUCAUCACCAAAGGAAGUCAGGACUGGAACUCAAGCAGGUCAGAAAGCAGGAGCUGAUGCAGAGGCCAUGGAGGGAUGUUCCUUACUGGCUUGCUUCCCCUGGCUUGCUCAGUCUGCUCUCUUAGAGAAUCCAAGACUACCAGCCCAGGGACGGCACCACCCACAAUGGGCCCUCCCCUCUUGAUCACUAAUUGAGAAAAUGCCUUACAGCUGGAUCUCAUGGAGGCAUUUCCUCAACUGAAGCUCCUUUCUCUGUGAUAACUCCAGCUGUGUCAAGUUGACACAAAACUAGCCAGUGCAGAAGUAUAUACUGAAAAGGUAAAACCUGGGCUGCUGUGUGGCUAAUAGUAGAACAGUCGCUUACUGUGUAGGAAUGGUUCGGUCAUCACCCUAAAAUUGGCAAAUGAAACUGCCAGGGGUGUCCCGCCCCCAGCUCUCCUGUUUCAAAUGGCAUCUCUUAAUAAUCACCUCCCUAACUUAGACCCUAUAGAAAGGUCCCAACCAUACUCAGGACCCUUGAGCACCUCACUCCUGUGGCCACUGUCAACCUUGGCAGUUUAGCUUGCUAUAAUCUGCAUGUUGUUUUAUUCCAAAUAAAGUUGGCUUGCUUCUUCCACAAA